rnacentral:tRNA from 2 species
GCAGAAGUGGCUCAGUGGUAGAGCAUCGCCUUGCCAAGGCGAGGGUCGCGGGUUCAAAUCCCGUCUUCUGCUCCA